CAACUUUCAGCAAUGGAUCUCUUGGUUCUCGCAUCGAUGAAGAACGCAGUGAAAUGCGAUAACUGGUGUGAAUUGCAUCCAAGUAACUCUAAUUUACGAAUAACACCAAGUGAAUCAUCGAGUCUUUGAACGCAAUUGCGCCCUCUCGGUCGCUUCCA
rnacentral:rRNA from 1 species